rnacentral:rRNA from 1 species
CGUCUAUAUACGUAUAGCAUAUCAAUAAGCGGAGGAAAAGAAACUAACAAGGAUUCCCUUAGUAACGGCGAGUGAAGCGGGAAGAGCUCAAAUUUGAAAUCUUCAAGGUUCUACCUUGACGAAUUGUAGUUUAAAGAAGUGUUUUCUGUUAGAGGAGUAGCAAAGGUUCCUUGGAAUGGGACAUCAUAGAGGGUGAGAAUCCCGUAUUUGGUUAUUCUUUCUAGCUUUGUGAUACACUUUCAAAGAGUCGGAUUGUUUGGGAAUGCAGUCCAAAAUGGGUGGUAAAUUUCAUCUAAAGCUAAAUAUUGGCGAGAGACCGAUAGCGAACAAGUACCGUGAGGGAAAGAUGAAAAGAACUUUGAAAAGAGAGUUAAACAGUACGUGAAAUUGUCAAAAGGGAAGCGUUUGACACCAGUGUUGUUUUUCCGAAAAUCAAUUAAGAAUGGACUUGAUUUUGUGUUGUAUUGACCUUAUCAGCUUUCUUCACUCUUUUUCGAGUCUUUCUUAAUGCACUUUUCGGUUAACAAGUCAACAUCAAUUUCUUUUGUUGUAAAAGGGUAAUUUGGAAGGUGGCUUUCUUUUCGGAGAAAGUGUUUAUAGCCUUAUACCUCUACAAUCGGAGAGAUUGAGGUCUGCAGCGUAGAUCCUUCGGGGCUAGAUACACUUGUGCUAAGUUAUAGCUUUUCAUAGACAACUUGUUGACUAUGUUUAGUCAUGUAGCUUACCCGCUUGUGCUAUUUUACCUACGCUUAGGAUGUUGAGUCAUCACACAUCUCU